rfam:Thermoanaerobacterium saccharolyticum JW/SL-YS485, complete genome.
UCCGGUGGCAAUAGCGGAGGUUAAAAACCCGUUCCCAUACCGAACACGGAAGUGAAGCCCUCCAGCGCCGAUGGUACUGAUUACUCGGGAGAGUAGGUCGCUGCCGGAU